UACGUAGGGUGCAAGCGUUAAUCGGAAUUACUGGGCGUAAAGCGUGCGCAGGCGGUUUUGUAAGUCUGUCGUGAAAUCCCCGGGCUCAACCUGGGAAUGGCGAUGGAGACUGCAAGGCUAGAGUUUGGCAGAGGGGGGUAGAAUUCCACGUGUAGCAGUGGAAAUGCGUAGAUAUGUGGAGGAACACCGAUGGCGAAGGCAGCCCCCUGGGUCAAAACUGACGCUCAUGCACGGAAAGCGUGGGGGAGCAAAACAGG
rnacentral:rRNA from 1 species